UACGUAGGGGGCAAGCGUUAUCCGGAUUUACUGGGUGUAAAGGGAGCGUAGACAGUCAUGCAAGUCUGGAGUGAAAGCUCGGGGCUCAACCCCGGAACUGCUUUGGAAACCGUUUGACUGGAGUGCAGGAGAGGUAAGCGGAAUUCUUAGUGUAGCGGCGAAAUGCGUAGAUAUUAGGAGGAACACCAGAGGCGAAGGCGGCUUACUGGGCUGUAACUGACGUUGAGGCUCGAAGGCGUGGGGAGCAAAC
rnacentral:rRNA from 1 species